UACGGGGGGGGCAAGCGUUGUUCGGAAUUACUGGGCGUAAAGGGCGCGUAGGCGGCUCUUCAAGUCAGGUGUGAAAUCUCUGGGCUUAACUCAGAAAAGUCACUUGAUACUGUUGGGCUAGAGUGUGGAAGAGGCUAUUGGAAUUCUGUGUGUAGCGGUGAAAUGCGUAGAUAUACGGAGGAACACCAGCGGCGAAGGCGGAUAGCUGGGCCAACACUGACGCUGAGGCGCGAAAGCCAGGGUAGCAAACGGG
rnacentral:rRNA from 1 species